rnacentral:rRNA from 1 species
AUGCCGCCCAAGGCUCCCAAGGCACCCAUUACGUGCAACUGGGUGAGAUCCAAUGUUACUGAUAAUACUUUAGAUGACUUUGUGAAGACGGGUUACCUGCCUAAGAAGGAGGUCAUGUCCUAUCGUGCCCCUGACCCGUCCGAAGAAAGACCUCAACCAAGAGACGGAGAAGUUGUUAUAUUUGCUGAUCACAUGAGCCGGGGCUUUGCUCCUCCUGGCUCAAGAUUCUUCAGAGAUGUUCUGAACUUUUUCGAUCUGCGACCUCAAGACAUUGGACCCAAUUCCGUGUCGAACAUUUGUAACUUUCAAGUGUUCUGUGAGGUAUAUCUCAGAGAAGAGCCCAGCCUACUGCUCUUUAGGGAGCUGUUUUAUCUGAACCGCCAGAACGAGUGUGCCAACGGGCCUAGCUUGAAACUUGGUGGAAUUUCAAUCCAACGACGGAGAGAUUGCCUCUUUCCUUAUGCUGAGCCGCCAAGCCACCCAAAGGACUGGAACCAGACAUGGUUCUACUGCCAGGAUACUUCUUCGGCUGAUGAAAACCCUCUGCCCGGCUUUCGCGCCCUGCGUCUGGAGUCAAAUCACCCCCUGCCAGACAAAUUAUCUCAAGCUGAGCGACAACCGCUUAUCCCUACCAUCAACAAGAUUAAAGCUCUUCUGGGAAACGGCCUUAACGGUGUUGAUCUGGUCCGGGUCUGGAUUGCUUGGCGGGUGAUUCCCUUGAGCCGCCGCCCUGGCUUAAUGUGUGAUUACACGGGGCGAAAGGAUGAUCCUCUGCGGCACAGCCCCAACGACCUACCUGAGGACGUCGUUGACGACAUGACUAAGUCCCUUCUGAACGAGAGCUUAGCAGACUGCGGGAGGACAGGCUUAAGCCCCUUCUGCAAAGCUAACCCGGCUCCGGCGGUAAGCUACUGA